rnacentral:rRNA from 1 species
UACGGAGGGAGCUAGCGUUGUUCGGAAUUACUGGGCGUAAAGCGCACGUAGGCGGAUUGCUAAGUCAGGGGUGAAAUCCUGGAGCUCAACUCCAGAACUGCCUUUGAUACUGGCAACCUUGAGUCCGGGAGAGGUGAGUGGAACUGGCGAGUGUAGAGGUGAAAUUCGUAGAUAUUCGCAAGAACACCAGUGGCGAAGGCGGCUCACUGGCCCGGUACUGACGCUGAGGAGCGAAAGCGUGGGGAGCGAACGAGG